GACGAACGCUGGCGGCGUGCUUAACACAUGCAAGUCGAGCGGUAAGGCCCUUUCGGGGGUACACGAGCGGCGAACGAGUGAGUAACACGUGGGUGACCUGCCCUCAGCUCUGGGAUAAGCCUGGGAAACUGGGUCUAAUACUGGAUAUGACUCCACGGUGCAUGUCGUGGGGUGGAAAGCCUUGUGCGGCUGAGGAUGGGCCCGCGGCCUAUCAGCUUGUUGGUGGGGUGAUGGCCUACCAAGGCGACGACGGGUAGCCGGCCUGAGAGGGCGACCGGCCACACUGGGACUGAGACACGGCCCAGACUCCUACGGGAGGCAGCAGUGGGGAAUCUUGCGCAAUGGGCGAAAGCCUGACGCAGCGACGCCGCGUGAGGGAUGACGGCCU
rnacentral:rRNA from 1 species